rnacentral:misc_RNA from 1 species
GUGAUUAAAUCGAGCGUGUCUUCAUUGACCGCUCACCCUUCUCACCAUCCACAUACACCUGUGCACUGUUUAGCCCGAGCCGGUUUUCCGGUCCAGGUUAUCAUUUCAUACAAACUCUAGUCUUAUGAAUGUAAACGUUUUAAUAACAUAAUA